AUUGAACGCUGGCGGCAGGCCUAACACAUGCAAGUCGAACGCGUGGCGGACGGGUGAGUUAUGUCUGGGCAACUGCCUGAUGUACGGGGAUAACUACUGUAAACCGUAGCUAUUACCGCUUACCAUCCUAUGUGCCCAGAUGGGAUUAGCUAGUGGGUGGGGUAAAGGCUCACCUAGGCGACGAUCCCUAGCUGGUCUGAGAGGAUGGCCGGCCACACUGGAACGGAGACACGGGCCAGACUCCUACGGGAGGCAGCAGUGGGGAAUAUUGGACAAUGGGCGCAAGCCUGAUGCAGCCAUGCCGCGUGUGUGAAGAAGGCCUUCGGGUUGUAAAGUACUUUCAGCGGGGAGGCGGUACCCGAAGAAGAAGCACCGGCUAACUCCGUGCCAGCAGCCGCGGUAAUAC
rnacentral:rRNA from 1 species